rnacentral:rRNA from 1 species
UACGUAGGGCGCAAGCGUUGUCCGGAAUUAUUGGGCGUAAAGAGCUCGUAGGCGGCUUGUCACGUCGAUUGUGAAAGCCCGAGGCUUAACCUCGGGUCUGCAGUCGAUACGGGCUAGCUAGAGUGUGGUAGGGGAGAUCGGAAUUCCUGGUGUAGCGGUGAAAUGCGCAGAUAUCAAGAGGAACACCUGCGGCGAAGGCGGGUUGCUGGGCCGACACUGACGCUGAAGUGCGAAAGCUAGGGGAGCGAACGGG